rnacentral:rRNA from 1 species
UGACGCCGCGUGCGGGAUGACGCCUUUCGGGGUGUAAACCGCUUUUCCCAAGGACGAGGAUGGACGGUACUUGGGGAAUAAGUCUCGGCUAACUACGUGC